AAUGCUUCUUGGCUUUUUGGCUAAGAUCAAGUGUAGAACCUCUUCUUAUCAGUUCUUAGUAGAGUUUUAAUCACUUUUGUUGUUCACAAAUUAAAUUUAUUUAUCUUAUACUUUUUAAAUUGAUUUUCGGAAAGUGCUGUUGAAUGCAAGGAUGUGUGUAGGCUGAUUGAGGUGGGUCAUUCCACAUCACAUAGC